rnacentral:rRNA from 1 species
UACGUAGGUGGCAAGCGUUGUCCGGAAUUAUUGGGCGUAAAGCGCGCGCAGGCGGUCCUUUAAGUCUGAUGUGAAAGCCCACGGCUCAACCGUGGAGGGUCAUUGGAAACUGGGGGACUUGAGUGCAGGAGAGAAGAGUGGAAUUCCACGUGUAGCGGUGAAAUGCGUAGAGAUGUGGAGGAACACCAGUGGCGAAGGCGAUCACCUGGGGUUGUUCUGACGCUGAGGAGCGAAAGCCAGGGGAGCAAACGGG